UGCGUAGGGUGCAAGCGUUAAUCGGAAUUACUGGGCGUAAAGCGUGCGCAGGGGGUUAUGCAAGGCAGAUGUGAAAUCCCCGGGCUCAACCUGGGAACUGCAUUUGUGACUGCAUGGCUAGAGUACGGUAGAGGGGGAUGGAAUUCCGCGUGUAGCAGUGAAAUGCGUAGAUAUGCGGAGGAACACCGAUGGCGAAGGCAAUCCCCUGGACCUGUACUGACGCUCAUGCACGAAAGCGUGGGGAGCAAACAGG
rnacentral:rRNA from 1 species